UUCACUUAAAAUCCCCUUAUCUCUCUUAACCUUCCAAGUGAAAAACUAUAUUUUCAAAGGAUUCAAGGCCUCAAUAUCCAUUGCUUUUUUUUCUUUGAUUAUCAAGGUCGUGGGAAUUCACCAAUGUAUUUCUUUCAUCCAUUGGGACCCAAAAGAACACCAAUCUCCAAUUCAAUUAGGGUUUUAUCGGCAGAUUGAGCAGAUGAAACAAUUUUUCCAGUAAUUGUUUUUUGCUUAUAGACACGUCCUCCUAGAGCCAUGACGUUUUGAAUAUCCCUGCAAAAUAUUUUUGCAUAUGCACAACAAAUGGCUGUUAUGAGAAGUGUCUACAACAUGAAAGAUAUGAGAAAUUUCUACGACAUUAAUAAUACCAAUGUUCUGGUCAAUCAAAGUUUUUACGAGGAUCCUACUUUAUAUAUACGGUGUAAUAUUUCACUGAGGAGAUUCGGGUAAACCACCUGGAACCCAUGUGGGUCCGCCGGUGCUGCUGGUGAACUUUUUCACUACUUAUAGAUCUGCACAGGAGCGUAGUCACAUAUUAUUUUUAUACUUAAACUUUAAAAAUAACGAUAAGUAGUUAAAUUAUUCAACUACAAAAUUUAUAUUUUCACUAUUUAAAUAUUGUAUAUUUUCUGACAAAAUUAUGUUGUCACUAAA